AGUGAGUGCACAUGUGGGGGGAGGGGGACAUUUCCAGAGAGCGAGAGAAAGUGAGUGGAAGAUGAGUGGAGUGAAGUUUUGAGUUUCAACUUCCUUCAUUGGUGGUAUUUGUAUUUUUUUUUAUCAAACUUGGUCCGUGAUUGGGCUACGAGAUGGUUAUGUUUAGAUUGGAUACAUCUUUUUUCAAACUUUCACUUCCCCUUUCGAUUUCUGCGUUAACAAAAGACAGGAGAUUUUCUGUUUGCACAAUCCACUUUUAGACUUUCAUCCGAGUAUGGCAGCCCAACAACUAAAACUGGCAAGGUGGCAGAUAGUGAAUGAUUUGAAUGAGCCUAAUAUCAUGGCCAUAUGUGACAAUUUACUACAAAACAAUGUGAUCAAUACAUUUGAGAGGGACUCCAUAACACAUAGGAUGCUAGACAGGGCAGAUAAGGCACGAAAACUUGUGGACACUGUUAUCUGCAAAGGUAACAACGCCUCCACAGUAAUGAUACAAGCACUGAUGCAAGUUGACCAACACCUCUACAAUGAGAUCGAGAGAAACCUUGCGCUGGCCAAUCACACUGGAGUCCAGGCUGGUGCUCAGGGUGCUCCGGGUGCACCACCAAAUUACGAUGAUGUGAUAUGAGAAUGACUGAAGAGAAAGACAACAGAAGUCACAAUUUUGUGCUUGGACUCCAGACGACCAGAUGACAAUGGUGUUGUUUCAGAAACUAACAGUAUCUUGAUAAUGGCAGUGCUACCGUUGGGCUGAAAUGUUGGUGGUUUACUCAAUAAAUCACUGGGAGCUUAUAUGUA